rnacentral:misc_RNA from 1 species
AAGUCGUAACAAGGUAACCGUAGGUGAACCUGCGGUUGGAUCAUUACCAAGUGUGGCUCUUUUGAGCCUUCACCCCUUGUGCACUGUGAUUGUUUCUGGGCUUCGGCCCAAAUUAUAAACCUAAAGAUUGCCUGAAGUGAAGUUGAAUUAAAACAAUUUUUGACAACGGAUCUCUUGGCUCUC